GAGCCAGUGACCUUUGAGGAAGCACUUGCAUACCUCACCAGAUUGAAAGGGCCAGCCAGGACCCUGUGCAGAGGGCCCUAUACAGAGAGGUGAUGCUGGAGCGUUAUGCAGGGGUGGCUUCCCUGACUUUUUCAUUCAGCUAUCCUGUUCUGGUCUCCUAGCUAGAGAAAGGGGAACUCCCAUGGAACCCCUAUCUCUGAGAAUCUCAGAGUGAAACCAUAAAUGAGAAGGAAGGACUAAUUCCAAAGGAGCAUAGGUCCAAAGAAACAGAAUCCCUCCGACUGACACUGGGAGGGCUGCCAGAGAAUACUCCCCAGCACCUAGAUUUUGGGAGCAGCCUAGAGCAGCCCCAAGGUCACUGGAUGGUCAAGAUAAAGUCAAAGAGGGGAGAUUUCACAGAUGGGUCCACCAGGCAUCAGGAGGCCUGUGCUGAUGAGAGAGGGGAAAGUGUGAGAAAUUAGGAAAAAAUGUUAGCGUCAGCACACAACUCUACGAAUCAGACAACUCCUACCGGUCAGAUAGCUUAUGAAUGUGGAAAAUGUGACAGGUAUUUCAGUCAAAUGGCAGACUUCCACUGACAUCAGAGAGGUCACGGUGAUGAAAAGUUUUGAAUGCAAAGAAUGUGGAUGACUUCAGAUGCAGCACAUUACUUGUUUGGCAUCAGAUAAUGCACACUAGAAAUAAACCAUUUAAAUGGAAAGAAUGCGGGAAAGGUUUAAAUUCAGAUGCAGCCUUGAUUCAGCAUCAGAGAAUCCACGCUGGAGAAUCGCCCUCUGAACGUAAGGAGGGUGGCAAGGCCUUUGGCAAUAGCUCAGUCUUCCUUUAGCACCAGAGGUUCCACACUGGGGAGAAACUCUGUGAGUGUAACAAACAUUGGAAAACUUCUAGUUGUAGCUCAAGCUUCAUUGUCCAUCAGCAAUGCACACUUGGAAGAAACCCUAUGAAUGUAAAGAGUGUGGGAAUCUAUUAAGCACGGCCUUGACUCAGCAUCACUGAAUUCACACUGGAGAGAAGCCCUUUGCAUGUAAGGGUUGCAAGAAGGCAUUCGAUCAGAAAAUAACCCUGAUUCAGCACGAGGGAGUUCACACUGGUGAGAAACCUUAUGAGUGUAGAAGGUGUGGGAGCCCCUCAGCUGGUGUGGAAACUUCGUUAUGCAUCAGAAGCCACACACUCAAAAGGCACCCAUUUAAGCAUAG
rnacentral:lncRNA from 1 species